rnacentral:rRNA from 1 species
UUGGAGGGCAAGUCUGGUGCCAGCAGCCGCGGUAAUUCCAGCUCCAAUAGCGUAUAUUAAAGUUGUUGCAGUUAAAAAGCUCGUAGUUGAAUUUCGGGAUCAAUAUGUUGGUCGUGCCUCGGUACGUACUAGCUUAUUGGUUUCUCCUUUCUGAAGAACCAUGAUGUCAUUUAUUUGGUGUCGUGGGGAAUCAGGACUGUUACUUUGAAAAAAUUAGAGUGUUUAAAGCAGGCUCACGCUUGAAUACAUUAGCAUGGAAUAAUGAAAUAGGACGUUUGAUUCUAUUUUGUUGGUUUCUAGGAUCGACGUAAUGAUUAAUAGGGAUAGUUGGGGGCAUUAGUAUUCAAUUGUCAGAGGUGAAAUUCUUGGAUUUAUUGAGAAGACUAACUACUGCGAAAGCAUUUGCCAAGGAUGUUUUCAUUAAUCAAGAACGAAAGUCAGGGGAUCGAAGACGAUCAGAUACCGUCGUAGUCUUAACCAUAAACUAUGCCGACCAGGGAUCGGAUGAUGUUAAUUUUUUAAUGACUCAUUCGGCGCCUUACGGGAAAC